UACGUAGGGGGCAAGCGUUGUCCGGAAUCAUUGGGCGUAAAGAGCGUGUAGGCGGCCAGAUAAGUCCGCUGUGAAAUCUCGAGGCUCAACUUCGAGCUGUCGGUGGAAACUGUCUGGCUAGAGUCCGGAAGAGGAGAAUGGAAUUCCUGGUGUAGCGGUGAAAUGCGCAGAUAUCAGGAAGAACACCCGUGGCGAAGGCGGUUCUCUGGGCAUUACCUGACGCUGAGGAGCGAAAGCGUGGGGAGCAAACAGG
rnacentral:rRNA from 1 species